UACGUAGGUGGCAAGCGUUGUUCGGAAUUACUGGGCGUAAAGGGCGCGUAGGCGGCACGGCAAGUCAGGAGUGAAAGGCCUGGGCUCAACCGAGGAACUGCUUUUGAGACUGCCGAGCUAGAGUGCAGAAGGGGCAACUGGAAUUCCCUGUGUAGCGGUGAAAUGCGUAGAUAUUGGGAAGAACACCUGAGGCGAAGGCGGGUUGCUGGGCUGACACUGACGCUGAGGCGCGAAAGCCAGGGGAGCAAACGGG
rnacentral:rRNA from 1 species